CCUGGGCGGGUGAGAGGAGGAGGAGGGGCUCUCUGAGGGGCUCUCUGCGGCACAACAACGUGGCUGACCGCGCUUUGGCUGGCUGGCUAUGGAGUGAUCUCACUCCUCUACUGCUCCACGCAGUCAGUCAGUCCCUUCCUUGCUUGCUUGCUUCGCCCUAACCCACCACCUCCUCGUCACACCGCAUGCCACUACCAUGCCUCUGUAAUUCCCUCCCCCUAACGCGCCCUGCAUCGUGUCCAUGGCGACACUCGAGGCGGGUAAGACCGCCGAGGACCUUCGCCGCGAGAUCGACGAACUCCAGCGCCAACAGCGAGAGAUUAAUGAGCGACUACGAGAUCCCAGAGGGCUACGGAAAAAUGGUCCUCAAGGCGGCACAGCGAGAAACAUUGAUGCUAACGGCCCACACCUGCGCAAUAAUGCCUCGCGAGGGGUCAUCAGGCGGGUGGAAGGCUUUGGUGGGGAAGACCAACGUCCCAGAAAGAGAAGACUACUGUCGGCUGUGGUGAAGGUUACGGAAGAGGUGGAGUCUACUGAAAAUGAGAAGGAAAAAGAAGGAAAUGAAGAGGUUCAUCCUGAUAAAGAUGAUGCAGAUGAAGAAAAUGAUGUCGCUGAUCGGCGGCCAACGCUCCAACGCAAUUACAACGCAGACGAUUCCAAUUCACUUCCAUCAACCGAUUCACAGCGAAGGGGGCGCUCCGACUCAAACACGCGCACUCCUAGUGCAGGCGGACAUCGUUCAGGGGGACCAGGAGGUCCCGGAGGGCCAAGAAGGUUACCUAGAGAGAGGGGCUUCCUUGUUCGUGUCAGCAAUCCAGUUGGCCAACAUCAGAUUGAAGAUGCACAAGCUGGUGAGCCAGUACCGAGGGUUCUGCCCAAGACAAGUGAUCCCAAUGUUGCUAAGCGAAACCGACGGAUGUUUGGAGCUCUUUUAGGUACUCUGGAGAAAUUUAGGCAGGAGGAUAAAAAGCUGUCUGGAUCCGAAUCAUUCCAACGUCGAUCUGAGCAGUUGAGGAAGGCAGAGCAGAAGGCGCAAGAAGAAAGUGAACGUUUACGUCAGCAAGAGAAAGAAGCUUUGGCAGAGAAACGAAGAGCUGAUCUGACUUUACGUGCAAAAUUGGCCGCUGAAGCUGAAGUUAAGCAACUAGAACUCCUUUUUCUGCAGUGGGCAGAACAUCAUACUCGGCUUGCCUCUUUCAUCAGAACAAAAGCGGGGCCCGGAAUUUAUUAUCUACCAGUUAAGUCUUGUGAAAAGACGGACAAUCUGCUUCAGGAAGCUCAGCAGGAACUGGCAGAAUGGAAGACCAGAUCACGUGAAGAACUGUCUGAGUGUCAGAGGCAGAUUUCUGAACUUAACAUGGCGAACUUGGAUGUUGAGAUUGAGAGAUGGAAAAAUGGACCUCCUGGGCGAUCCAAAGUCUCCAGUGACAUACUGACUGCUGAGGCAAAUACAGUUGGAGAUGGUGAUGACAAAGUCCUCGAGCAAGCUGGAGAAGGAAUCGAUGUUGUUGAAGACGAAGAUGACGAAACUGGUGCCAUGGUUAUAGAAGAUGAGGAAAGGGUAAUAUCUGAGGAGGCGGAGACUAACAAAUUGAUCAGCGUGUAGAUGUGAAGCAAGUGAAGGGAUAGCACCAAGUUUCUACUUGUGCUAUGCUGCUGAAGAAACCUCGGUACGGCGGCGUCAUCUGGUUGGAGCACUCUGGAGUCGCAGUGUCUGCACAUCCUUCAUCAUGGCUCAGAACUGUAAUUUCAAUUGAGAAAUUAACUGCCUGUCGAGUUCGUCCUCAAUGCGAACUUUCAUUGCCCCUCACCGCCGUUGCGAAAUUCCCUCGCUUCACGACACACGAGCGAAGUGCCAUCGCAGUACCGACGCCGGCUGCCUCACCAAUUCUUCGCCUCAGGCCCCUGCAAAUACAUGUAGAUUUCUCCACCCAAAUUCUCGUUUUGCUCGACUUCCAGUCAACCAUGUGCGAAUUUGAAACAUCACGAAAAUAGUUACUUUCUAUCAAUCACAACAACUUGGAUUGUGAAGGUGUUCGUUGUCACGUUAACGACAGAAUAUGUCGUUUCGCCGUGGCGUCCUGCAACGACGGAUGUGUUCUGAACCCCGAAAUUUGAAAUACUCUUUUGAAUUCCCCUUUUUCCAUGAAUUAUCCAGCUCUAAAGCUCACAAAUCUUGUUUCCGUCUCCUCAAGUGUCGCCGAACUCAGCUGCGGGGACAUGUGUGAAGGAAUCAGAUGAUUCAAGGGCCAGUUUUGACAUGGCUCCUCCUCUAAGAAAGCAGUGCCACUCUGGCUUUUGUUUAUCGUGGCGUGCUACGUAAUGUUCCAUACCCCUUCUCUUUCUAUUUUUGCCCCUUUAUUGCACUCAAGGCUCUUCUUCCUUCCUGUUAUUUCUAUGCAAUCUUGUUUGAAUUCGCUACCGUCCACCAACUCUGCACAGUAGGCUGAAUCUGCUCCAAUUGGUGGUCUGUGCUCUCUUCACAUCUCCUCUCUCACGCUCUCUCUCUCUCUCGCUCUUUUAGUCUUGCUAUUCCCAUUCUCACCUUGCUUAUAUGGUGCUUGGAUCUUCAAUGCCUGGAGAUUAAUGAGCAUGGAAAAGCUAUUAAAACCAAUUUUCAAAAACUGAAAAUCCGAAAUGGGGAUUGUGAUUAUCAUGCACUAUUGUACAGGCAUUGAGUGUGAAGGAUCCUGAAGCUUGGCCCACAUUAAUCUGCCUACCUAGAAAACUUGAGUGUGUUGAGAUGGGUUGAAACCAACAUGAAUUUCACGUUUCCUAGUUUUUACCAUGGAGGGGUCAAAGUCGUUGUGUGAAGAGUUGAAGAUUGCUAGUGGUGGGACCCGCUCAAUGAGAUGCAUCUGGUGCCUCUGUAGUUUUUGAGGCAAUUGUCUUAUCAUCAACAAUGUCAGAUUCAAAGGCUGCAAACUGAAGGUGGCCAUCUCUCUGAACAUCCUCAUAUGCCAUUGAAUGGCAGUAGUUAUUCUUCACUGGCCAUAAAUUUCCUUAAAUGACUUGGCACGGUAAUUCUCUGUAGCAUUUUAAUGGCUGUUCGUUGCAGUGAUGUGGAGAAGUUCCUGUGAACUUUUGUGCUAGCCUUGAUUAAGAAACCGCUCUUUCCUUUUAGUGUUA